rfam:Stegodyphus mimosarum contig48375, whole genome shotgun sequence.
GCCUUCGUGGUGUAAUGGUCAGCAUCCUGAGCCGGUAUUUCAGAGGUCCGUGGUUCGAUCCCCGGCGAAGGCA